rnacentral:rRNA from 1 species
AACGAACGCUGGCGGCAUGCCUAACACAUGCAAGUCGAACGAGACCUUCGGGUCUAGUGGCGCACGGGUGCGUAACGCGUGGGAAUCUGCCCUUGGGUUCGGAAUAACAGUGAGAAAUUACUGCUAAUACCGGAUGGUGUCUUCGGACCAAAGAUUUAUCGCCCAGGGAUGAGCCCGCGUAGGAUUAGCUAGUUGGUGGGGUAAUGGCCUACCAAGGCGACGAUCCUUAGCUGGUCUGAGAGGAUGAUCAGCCACACUGGGACUGAGACACGGCCCAGACUCCUACGGGAGGCAGCAGUGGGGAAUAUUGGACAAUGGGCGCAAGCCUGAUCCAGCAAUGCCGCGUGAGUGAUGAAGGCCUUAGGGUUGUAAAGCUCUUUUAACCGGGAUGAUAAUGACAGUACCGGGAGAAUAAGCGCCGGCUAACUCCGUG